CCUACGGGUGGCAGCAGUGGGGAAUAUUGGGCAAUGGGCGCAAGCCUGACCCAGCAACGCCGCGUGAAGGAAGAAGGCUUUCGGGUUGUAAACUUCUUUUGUCAGGGACGAAGCAAGUGACGGUACCUAACGAAUAAGCCACGGCUAACUACGUGCCAGCAGCCGCGGUAAUCCGUAGGUGGCAAGCGUUAUCCGGAUUUACUGGGUGUAAAGGGCGUGUAGGCGGGACUGCAAGUCAGAUGUGAAAACCACGGGCUCAACCUGUGGACUGCAUUUGAAACUGUAGUUCUUGAGUAAUGGAGAGGCAGACGGAAUUCCUAGGGUAGCGGUGAAAUGCGUAGAUAUUAGGAGGAACACCAGUGGCGAAGGCGGUCGGCUGGACAGCAACUGACGCUGAGGCGCGAAAGCGUGGGGAGCAAACAGGAUUAGAUACCCCAGUAGUC
rnacentral:rRNA from 1 species